CCCUUAGAUGUUCUGGGCCGCACGCGCGCUACACUGAUGCAUUCAACGAGUCUAAAACCUGCUCUGAUAGGGGUGGGUAAUCUUUUGAAUGUGCAUCGUGAUUGGGAUAGAUGAUUGCAAUUGUCGAUCUUGAACGAGGAAUUCCUAGUAAGCGCGAGUCAUCAGCUCGCGCUGAUUACGUCCCUGCCCUUUGUACACACCGCCCGUCGCUACUACCGAUUGGAUGGUUUAGCGAGAACUUUGGACCGGAGCUCGGGUGGUCAGCAAUGGCCGCCCGAGACAUACUGGGAAAUCGCUCCAGCUUGAUCAUCUAGAGGAAGUAAAAGUCGUAACA
rnacentral:rRNA from 1 species